CGAUCUAUGGAUAAAUUGGUAAAGGCAUCGUCGAUGACAGGCGUAGGUGCGGGUUCGAGUCCCGCUAGAACGG
rnacentral:tRNA from 1 species